AGUAGUGCAUCAGUUUAUCGGAAAGUGAAAGAGUUUCUCUCUCAGACGCGACUCCAUUUUGUCUCAGUUGGAAAAGCAGAAAAACCUCAACACCAGGCAGAAACGGUGAUAUUAAUGUCACACAACAUGGACUGCUGAAUAAAAUAUGUGCUUGUGCCAUGCAACAGUAUGUACAGUAUGUGGUUCCAACAUGUGAUCUCUCCAGCUGCAUGCAGAAAUAAACUAAAGAGUCUCUUUUACAGCAAAGUGAAUAGCACUUGUUUCUGGGAGUGAUGGAGAGACGGCAUUAAUCAGUUUUCCUCUUCACUUUUGGAGGAAAAGGGGAUUGCCCCAUAACACAGAAUGCAUUUACAGUAUGCAUGCAUUAAUAUUUUUCUCUUUUUUCGCUUCUAUGUGUAACUGGUCCAUCCUGCCUCGCUACACUGCGCUGUGUUCUGGUGCACAAUAGACAUUGGACACCGGCGUAUCUUGUUAUAUCUGUUACAUAUGUUGUUAUAUGUUACAUGUUACAUAUGGUUAACAUGAGAACAUUAGGAUGUGAUUCAUUUUAAGACAUUCACAUAAGCAUGCACAACAAGUGAAGAUCAAUGAAUGGAAGCAACUGCUCGAUUUAACCCACGAAAGAAGCGGAGCAUGCGGAAGUGAUUAUAUAAUA